UGGCGCAGUGGUUAAAAGCACUUGGCUGCUAACCAAAAAGUCGGUGGUUCGAACCCACC
rnacentral:tRNA from 1 species